UACAGAGGGUGCGAGCGUUAAUCGGAAUUACUGGGCGUAAAGCGUGCGUAGACGGUUGUCUAAGUCGGAUGUGAAAUCCCCGGGCUCAACCUGGGAAUUGCAUUCGAGACUGAACAGCUAGGGUGCGGAAGAGGGAAGCGGAAUUUCCGGUGUAGCAGUGAAAUGCGUAGAUAUCGGAAGGAACAUCAGUGGCGAAAGCGGCUUCCUGGUCCAGCACCGACGUUCAGGCACGAAAGCGUGGGCAGCAAACAGG
rnacentral:rRNA from 1 species